UAAUUGAAGAGUUUGAUCAUGGCUCAGAUUGAACGCUGGCGGCAGGCCUAACACAUGCAAGUCGGGCGGUAACAGGGAGAAGCUUGCUUCUCUGCUGACGAGCGGCGGACGGGUGAGUAAUGUAUGGGGAUCUGCCUGAUGGAGGGGGAUAACUACUGGAAACGGUAGCUAAUACCGCAUAAUGUCU
rnacentral:rRNA from 1 species